rnacentral:tRNA from 1 species
UUAGUUAAAAAAUAACAUUAGUAUGUCAAACUAAAAUUAUUAAAGUAUUUAAUAUUUUUUAG